CUCUUAUCAAGAGCAGGCUGAGGGUUAUGGCCCUAUGAAGCCCAGCAACCGACCGUAAUUCCAUUGUGAAAUGGGGCGAAACAUUUUCGCCGGAUCCAAUCCUUAAGGCACGGUGCCAAUUCCAUCAGAAAGAAAUUUCUUUCUGGCAGAUAAGAG
rnacentral:ncRNA from 2 species